rnacentral:rRNA from 1 species
ACGGGUGCGUAACGCGUGGGAAUCUGCCCUUAGGUUCGGAAUAACAGCUGGAAACGGCUGCUAAUACCGGAUGAUGACGAGAGUCCAAAGAUUUAUUGCCUGAGGAUGAGCCCGCGUUGGAUUAGGUAGUUGGUGGGGUAAAGGCCUACCAAGCCGACGAUCCAUAGCUGGUCUGAGAGGAUGAUCAGCCACACUGGGACUGAGACACGGCCCAGACUCCUACGGGAGGCAGCAGUGGGGAAUAUUGGACAAUGGGCGAAAGCCUGAUCCAGCAAUGCCGCGUGAGUGAUGAAGGCCCUAGGGUUGUAAAGCUCUUUUACCCGGGAAGAUAAUGACUGUACCGGGAGAAUAAGCCCCGGCUAACUCCGUGCCAGCAGCCGCGGUAAUACGGAGGGGGCUAGCGUUGUUCGGAAUUACUGGGCGUAAAGCGCACGUAGGCGGCUUUGUAAGUCAGAGGUGAAAGCCUGGAGCUCAACUCCAGAACUGCCUUUGAGACUGCAUCGCUUGAAUCCAGGAGAGGUCAGUGGAAUUCCGAGUGUAGAGGUGAAAUUCGUAGA